AGUGAACGCUGGCGGUAGGCCUAACACAUGCAAGUCGUACGGCAGCACAGUAAGAGCUUGCUCUUACGGGUGGCGAGUGGCGGACGGGUGAGGAAUACAUCGGAAUCUACUUUUUCGUGGGGGAUAACGUAGGGAAACUUACGCUAAUACCGCAUACGACCUACGGGUGAAGGCAGGGGAUCUUCGGACCUUGCGCGAUUGAAUGAGCCGAUGUCGGAUUAGCUAGUUGGCGGGGUAAAGGCCCACCAAGGCGACGAUCCGUAGCUGGUCUGAGAGGAUGAUCAGCCACACUGGAACUGAGACACGGUCCAGACUCCUACGGGAGGCAGCAGUGGGGAAUAUUGGACAAUGGGCGCAAGCCUGAUCCAGCCAUACCGCGUGGGUGAAGAAGGCCUUCGGGUUGUAAAGCCCUUUUGUUGGGAAAGAAAAGCAGCAGGUUAAUACCCCGCUGUUCUGACGGUACCCAAAGAAUAAGCACCGGCUAACUUCGUG
rnacentral:rRNA from 1 species